ACGAACGUUGGCGGCGUGGAUUAGGCAUGCAAGUCGCGCGAAUCCCCGCAAGGGGGGAAGCGGCGUAAGGGGCAGUAAGGCGUGGGUACCUACCCGGGGGUCGGGGAUAGCCCGUCGAGAGACGGGGUAAUACCCGAUGACCUCGUGAGAGCAAAGGUCCGCCGCCCUCGGAGGGGCCCACGUGGUAUUAGCUAGUUGGUGGGGUGACGGCCCACCAAGGCGGAGAUGCCUAGCGGGUGUGAGAGCACGACCCGCGCCACUGGCACUGAGACACUGGCCAGACACCUACGGGUGGCUGCAGUCGAGGAUCUUCGGCAAUGGGGGAAACCCUGACCGAGCGACGCCGCGUGGGCGACGAAGGCCUUCGGGUUGUAAAGCCCUGUCGGGGGGGAGGAAAGGGUAACACCUUGACCUAUCCCCGGAGGAAGCACGGGCUAAGUUCGUGCCAGCAGCCGCGGUAAGACGAACCGUGCGAACGUUGUUCGGAAUCACUGGGCUUAAAGGGCGCGUAGGCGGGCCACCAAGUCCGCGGUGAAAAUCCCCCGGCUCAACCGGGGAACGGCCGUGGAUACUGAGGGUCUGGAGGCGGGUAGGGGCGAGCGGAACUCUGGGUGGAGCGGUGAAAUGCGUUGAUAUCCAGAGGAACUCCGGUGGCGAAGGCGGCUCGCUGGACCCGAUCUGACGCUGAGGCGCGAAAGCCAGGGGAGCGAACGGGAUUAGAUACCCCGGUAGUCCUGGCCCUAAACGUUGGGGACUAGGUAGUCGGCCGGACAUGGGCUGACUGCCGGAGCGAAAGUGCUAAGUCCCCCGCCUGGGGAGUAUGGCCGCAAGGCUGAAACUCAAAGGAAUUGACGGGGGCUCACACAAGCGGUGGAGCAUGUGGCUUAAUUCGAGGCUACGCGAAGAACCUUAUCCCGGACUUGACAUGUGCGAAAGCGCUGGGAAGUAGCCCGCGGAAACGUGGGGCCAACGGUAUCCAGUCCGGAACCCAGUACAGGUGUUGCAUGGCUGUCGUCAGCUCGUGUCGUGAGAUGUCGGGUUAAGUCCCAUAACGAGCGAAACCCCUACCCUCAGUUGCCUUUUGGGACUCUGGGGGGACUGCCGGUGUCAAACCGGAGGAAGGUGGGGAUGACGUCAAGUCCUCAUGGCCUUUAUGUCCGGGGCUGCACACGUGCUACAAUGGCGUGGACAGAGGGACGCCAAGGCGCGAGCCGGAGCCAAUCCCAAAAAGCACGCCCCAGUUCAGAUCGCAGGCUGCAACCCGCCUGCGUGAAGCCGGAAUCGCUAGUAAUCGCGGGUCAGCAACACCGCGGUGAAUGUGUUCCUGAGCCUUGUACACACCGCCCGUCAAGCCACGAAAGGGUGGGGCCGCCGAAGUCACCUCACGGUGCCGAAGCGGAGACGCCUGAUUGGGACU
rnacentral:rRNA from 1 species